rnacentral:rRNA from 1 species
UAGGGAAUAUUGGUCAAUGGAUGCAAGUCUGAACCAGCCAUGCCGCGUGCAGGAAGAAGGCGUUAUGCGUUGUAAACUGCUUUUGCCAGGGGAUAAAAUAACCUUGCGAGGUUAAUUGAAGGUACCUGGUGAAUAAGCCACGGCUAACUACGUGCCAGCAGCCGCGGUAAUACGUAGGUGGCGAGCGUUGUCCGGAUUUAUUGGGUUUAAAGGGUGCGUAGGCGGCCCUGUAAGUCAGUGCUGAAAUAUCCCGGCUUAACCGGGAGGGUGGCAUUGAUACUGCGGGGCUUGAGUGGAGUCGAAGUAGGCGGAAUUGACGGUGUAGCGGUGAAAUGCUUAGAUAUCGUCAAGAACACCGAUAGUGAAGACAGUUUACUAGGCUUUUACUGACGCUGAGGCA